AUGGGCGAAAGCCUGAUGCAGCAACGCCGCGUGAGGGAUGACGGCCUUCGGGUUGUAAACCUCUUUUAGCAGGGAAGAAGCGAGAGUGACGGUACCUGCAGAAAAAGCGCCGGCUAACUACGUGCCAGCAGCCGCGGUAAUACGUAGGGCGCAAGCGUUAUCCGGAAUUAUUGGGCGUAAAGAGCUCGUAGGCGGUUUGUCGCGUCUGCUGUGAAAACUGGAGGCUCAACCUCCAGCCUGCAGUGGGUACGGGCAGACUAGAGUGCGGUAGGGGAGAUUGGAAUUCCUGGUGUAGCGGUGGAAUGCGCAGAUAUCAGGAGGAACACCGAUGGCGAAGGCAGAUCUCUGGGCCGUAACUGACGCUGAGGAGCGAAAGGGUGGGGAGCGAACAGGCUUAGAUACCCUGGUAGUCCACCCCGUAAACGUUGGGAACUAGUUGUGGGGGCCUUUCCACGGUCUCCGUGACGCAGCUAACGCAUUAAGUUCCCCGCCUGGGGAGUACGGCCG
rnacentral:rRNA from 1 species